UUGUGAAGUUCAAGCGUGUUGUUUUUCUGGAUGGAUGGCCUCACUCAAGAUUACAAAGUAUUGGCCGGCCCGCACCGCGGCUCACUACGCUAAUCCUCCGCCUGCGAUGCUGGCACACCGGGUUCUAGUCCCAGUUGGGGCGCCAGUUCUGUCCAGGUUGCCCCUCUUCCAGUCCAGCUCUCUGCUGUGGCCCGGGAGUGCAGUGGAGGAUGGCCCAAGUGCUUGGGCACCUGCACCCCAUGGGAGACCAGGAGGAAGCACCUGGCUCCUGACUUCGGAUCGGCUCAGCGUGCGGGCCUUAGAGGCCUUUUGGGGGUGAAUCAACGGAAGGAAGACCUUUCUCUCUGUCUCUCUCUCUCUCUCACUGUCCACUCUGCCUGUCAAAAAAAAAAGAAAGAUUACAAAGUACCCCUGACAGGCACGGUCUCCUGCUGAUGGCAUCUUCAGGAUGAAUGGGAAUUAGGUGGUUACAGAAGAGAGAGCACCUGUGUUUUGCUUAUGAAAAACACGCAUACAGAGAGCCCUGAGGCAGGCAGUUGGCUGGGCAGGCUGGGGCAGGAGACGCCAGAGGUGAGCCGCAGCUGGUUAGGCUCAGUUCUACUAAACACAGUGUUUGAGGCAGGCAGCAGCUCCAGGCGGGAGGGCAUUGGAUACCUUCUAAAGGAGUUAGGAUUUUAUACCUUGCAACACAGUUUCAUCUAGCAUAUUCAGGGAAAUUUCAACAACUAUAUAUUCACACUUAAUCUUAGCCAAAAGGCCGAGAAGUGAUUAGCAACCAUAUAUUCAAAAGCGUUUUCUUUUGUUAAGCACGUUCGGGGAGAUGGCGAGUUAAGUAGCUAAUCCUGUUUCAUUACUGCAGAACACAGAGGUGCACGCAACUCCAAGAGAAGAGAAGGGACUGCCAUGUUUGCUGCAGACCGUGGCCACAGGAGCUUCUUCUGAACUCCUCUCUUGCUUGCAUUCCUUGGAUUUCCACUUUUUGGAAACCCCCAUUGGGCAAUGUGAUGACCACGAGGAGCCGUCCUCGGGUGCACAGCGUGUCGAUGCUUGUGAAUGUAGCCGUGGCCUGGUCAGCGAGGCCUGAUCUCUCGGGCGUUCUCCAAAGACGCCCUUCGGAGCUGCUCUGGACCUGGGCCCCUGCCUCUUGCCCUCUGUGGUGACAAAUGCCAACAAAUGCAGCUACAGAGUAACAAGUGACGGGGGAUGCCAGCUUACCAAGAAGAGGGGAGGAUUUCUCUGGAAAUCCAAGUUGGAGCCCAGGUGUUGUAUUCCAGGCAGGGCAACUGCACGUGUGAAGUCCCUGAAUUGAACCUGUUUGCAAGGUGGGCCGUGAGUGGUGGCAUAUUCCUGGUUUUGGGGAGCAAGGCAUGAACAUCUUUGGGGGGACCGUUAUUCGGCCUACCACAGCCACUACUUAGAGAACUGACCACUGCAUCUGACCGCCUGCACAUCUGUCAGAGGGAAACCGUCUGCAGCUGGCCAAGGAGUGAAUGAGAAAGCAAUCGAGUUCUGCAGAGGACGCUUUGGGGGAGUUCUGCUUUGAGUGGGAUGGGGAGAGGGAGAAGUAGGGCAGGAGUCCAGCAAAAGGAACCAGAGUGGCAGGAAAUCCUCUCCAGCCAAGAAGGGAGCUAUUUAUAAGACUAUGGACGCAUAGUGAGAAAGUGGGGGGACUGGUGUAGGGGAGGGCGUGAAGACGGAAGGGCUUUUCUGGUGGGGCCACUCCAUCAAAUACUCUAGGAGGAAAUGCCAAGGUCCACGUGCCUGAUGUUGGUGUUCAAGGUCUCAGAGAGGGGUCAGUGGUCCAUGGCGCCACUACUGGACUGUAGAAGACACGAAGAGAAGGUUGUUUGAGACUGGCGGUAAAGAAACUGAGGCGGAGCCAGUGCUAUGGCGUAAUAGGUAAAGCUGUCACCUGCAGUGCCAGCACCCCACAUCAAGUCCCGGCUGCUCCACUUCCAAUCCAGCUCUCUGCUAAUGUGCCUGGGAAAGCAGCAGAGGAUGGCCCAAGUGCUUAGGCCCCUGUACCCAUGUGGGAGACUCAGAUGAAGCUCCUGGCUCCCGGCUUCAGCCUGGCCCAGCCUCAGAUGUUGCAGCCAUUUGGGGAAUGAACCAGCAGACUGAAGAUGUCUCUCUUUCUCUCUGUCUCUCCCUCUCUCUAUAAUUCUGCCUUUCAAAUAAGUAAAUAAAUCUUCAAAAAAAGAAAAGAAAAGAAACGGAGGCACCAGGAAUUGCAAUGGUCUUUCCUGGGAAUGAUGGAGUCCCAAAGCAUGACCACAGGGUUUGGGGUGGAGAGCAGGACCGGGCCCCAGGGAGUGAGGUCUUCAGACAGCAAGGGUGACCUAAUGAGGGCAGUGUCAUGUCCAAGUCAUGUGCAUCCCAGACAGCAGAGCUGGAGGAGCAGAGCAGGUGCAGGAGGGCAGCAAGGGGCAUGCCCUGUCCCCCCGGGCUCCGUUACCUGGAGUGGGGAUGAGUACACGGCCUGGGUUUGGUGAGCCAAGUGAUUUCAGAAAAGCACCAGAUUUUAGGAGGGAGGGGAAGAGAACGUAACUGGAGGAAGUUGUGAUGUGGAGACGUGGUCAAACAGGGAUGUAGGAGCAGGCAGGGGUGUGUGUGAGCGUACAGGUGACAAUGGAUGACCAGGGCCCGGGGACCUCCAUAGUGACAGAGGCCAAGGGAGACGUGCUCAGUGGCACUUGGCCUGGUGGCUUUUCAACAGAGGACUCGCUAUGGUGGGCUGAGACCCAAGCCCUGCGCUUGUCGCCUGGGGCAGCCACACUCGCUAGGACACCGGGCACGAGUGAUGCCCUGCCAUGCCGUGUCCCAGCAGUCCCCCAGCACUUCCUGGGUGGUCCCGGGACUGGACAUCCUCCCCAGCGCUCCUGCCCUGGGCGCCUUUCCCCCUUUUCCCUGUCUUAGUCCCAGCCGUUGUUAAUGCCUGCCACAGAUGCCACCUGUUCUGUAAAACCCUGCGGUCUCUCCAACCAGAAACCACGGCUCCCGCUUCUGGAUUUACGCAAGUGGGAUUUGAAAUGGAAUGUCUGCAAACGCGUUUUCCCUGCGCAUUCCUGAGGGUGGUGGUAACUGCUGAAGGAAGCCUCUGCAUCUCAGAGGUCCCCGUACUCCCAUUCCAGGAAGGGCAAACGCUUCUUGUGUUGCCCAAGAGUUGCAGCUCUGGUUAACGGACUAUUGAGCCCCUCUUAGAAAAGAAGCAGGGAGGGCCGGCGCUGUGGCUCACUAGGCUAAUCCUCCGCCUAGCGGCGCCGGCACACCGGGUUCUAGUCCCGGUCGGGGCGCCGGAUUCUGUCCCGGUUGCCCCUCUUCCAGGCCAGCCCUCUGCUGUGGCCAGGGAGUGCAGUGGAGGAUGGCCCAGGUGCUUGGGCCCUGCACCCCAUGGGGAGACCAGGAAAAGCACCUGGCUCCUGGCUCCUGCCAUCGGAUCAGCGCGGUGCGCCGGCCGCAGCGCGCCGGCCGCGGCGGCCAUUGGAGGGUGAACCAACGGCAAAAGGAAGACCUUUCUCUCUGUCUCUCUCUCUCUCUCACUAUCCACUCUGCCUGUCAAGAAA